UACAGAGGUCCCAAGCGUUGUUCGGAUUCACUGGGCGUAAAGGGUGCGUAGGCGGUCGGGUAAGUCUGACGUGAAAUCUCCAAGCCUAACUUGGAAACUGCGUUGGAUACUAUCCGGCUCGAGGAAUGGAGGGGAGACUGGAAUACUUGGUGUAGCAGUGAAAUGCGUAGAUAUCAAGUGGAACACCAGUGGCGAAGGCGAAUCUCUGGACAUUUCCUGACGCUGAGGCACGAAAGCCAGGGGAGCAAACGGG
rnacentral:rRNA from 1 species